rnacentral:rRNA from 1 species
GAUACCCUGGUAGUCCACACUGUAAACGAUGGAUACUAGGUGUAGGGUGUAUUAAGCACUCUGUGCCGCCGCUAACGCAUUAAGUAUCCCACCUGGGGAGUACGACCGCAAGGUUGAAACUCAAAGGAAUUGACGGGGGCCCGCACAAGCAGUGGAUUAUGUGGUUUAAUUCGAAGCAACGCGAAGAACCUUACCAGGGCUUGACAUCCAACUAACGAAGCAGAGAUGCAUUAGGUGCCCUUCGGGGAAAGUUGAGACAGGUGGUGCAUGGUUGUCGUCAGCUCGUGUCGUGAGAUGUUGGGUUAAGUCCCGCAACGAGCGCAACCCCUAUUGUUAGUUGCUACGCAAGAGCACUCUAGCGAGACUGCCGUUGACAAAACGGAGGAAGGUGGGGACGACGUCAAAUCAUCAUGCCCCUUAUGUCCUGGGCUACACACGUAAUACAAUGGCACAAAACAAAGGGAAGCAAAGCCGCGAGGCGGAGCGAAUCCCCAAAAGGCGUCUCAGUUCGGAUUGCAGGCUGCAACUCGCCUGUAUGAAGUCGGAAUUGCUAGUAAUCGUGGAUCAGCAUGCCACGGUGAAUACGUUCCCGGGCCUUGUACACACCGCCCGUCACACCACGAGAGCCGGGAACACCCGAAGUCCGUAGUCUAACCUAUAUGGAGGACGCGGCCGAAGGUGGGUUUGGUAAUUGGGGUGAAGUCGUAACAAGGUAAC